CCUACGGGUGGCAGCAGUGAGGAAUAUUGGUCAAUGGACGAGAGUCUGAACCAGCCAAGUAGCGUGAAUGAUGACUGCCCUAUGGGUUGUAAACUUCUUUUAUAUGGGAAUAAAGUGUGCCACGUGUGGGAUUUUGUAUGUACCUUAUGAAUAAGGAUCGGCUAACUCCGUGCCAGCCGCCGCGGUAAUACGGCGGAUCCGAGCGUUAUACGGAUUUAUUGGGUUGAAAGGGAGCGUAGAUGGAUUGUUAAGUCAGUUGUGAAAGUUUGCGGCUCAACCGUAAAAUUGCAAUUGAUACUGGCAGUCUUGAGUACAGUAGAGGUAGGCGGAAUUCGUGGUGUAGCGGUGAAAUGCUUAGAUAUCACGAAGAACUCCGAUUGCGAAGGCAGUUCACUGAACUGCAACUGACACUGAGGCUCGAAAGUGUGGGUAUCAAACAGGAUUAGAUACCCCUGUAGUC
rnacentral:rRNA from 1 species